GCUUAAUUUAAUGUCCUUAAAUAUGGCAAUUCCAUAUAAGGAUGCUAAGAUAGUGUUUUAUUUAGUUGUGCUAUAUAGAGGUCAAGGAUGGACCUCGUGCGGAAAAUAAAUCCAUGACACCAUGGGGGGUCUACCCUGCUUGAUUAUUGCUCUAGUUUUAAACACUGGGCCAUAAGAUAUGCCAUCCUGCAAAACACCCAAAGCUCUUCUAGAACUAGCAGAAAACUAAUUUGCAGCUGAGGAAACGGUACUGUUGGUUUAAAAAACAAAAACAAAAAAAAAACAUUAAAAAAAAAAUUGUCCAGUGCGGAAUAAUUCCCCUAUUAUCUUUUACAACCCUGGUGGUGUAACCUGUAGAAAAAGCAAACUGAUCUCCUUAGGAAGAGCAUUCUGCCUCUGAACCAUUACAUCUUCAAGAUGUUUCUAAAACAAUUAAGUGGUAUUGGUGCAUAAUCAGUUCUCUGCUAUUUAGGAGUAAAUUCACUGUUUGUUCAGCCACAUUCCCCCUACAUGUGAUCUAGUUACCCUACACAUUUUCUGUUGGGAGAGAUCUAAUGUUUGAUCAUCCUUUAUUGCACAGCCUAUUUAGGUUUGAAAUUUGUCUCCAGUUCUUUUAAUUGCCUGUUAAAAACGUAAUGAUUGUGAGUAACCGGCAAUAAUAAAGCACACUGUGCUGUAAGACAAGCAUGUCAAACUCAAAGGCUAGCAUGGGCCAAAAGAACAAGGUUUAAGUUUGUGGGCUGCAAAAAAAAGCAAACUUAAAUUUGUAUAGAAAC